GUACAGACACAUCAAUGACCCCUGUCAGACAGUACAGACACAUCAAUGACCCCUGUCAGACAGUACAGACACAUCAAUGACCUCUGUCAGACAGUACAGACACAUCAAUGACCCCUGUCAGUCAGUACAGACACAUCAAUGACCCCUGUCAGACAGUACAGACACAUCAAUGACCUCUGUCAGUCAGUACAGACACAUCAAUGACCCCUGUCAGACAGUACAGACACAUCAAUGACCCCUGUCAGACAGUAGACACAUCAAUGACCCCUGUCAGACAGUAGACACAUCAAUGACCCCUGUCAGACAGUACAGACACAUCAAUGACCCCUGUCAGACAGUACAGACACAUCAAUGACCCCUGUCAGACAGUACAGACACAUCAAUGACCCCUGUCAGUCAGUACAGACACAUCAAUGACCCCUGUCAGUCAGUAGACACAUCAAUGACCCCUGUCAGUCAGUACAGACACAUCAAUGACCCCUGUCAGACAGUACAGACACAUCAAUGACCCCUGUCAGUCAGUACAGACACAUCAAUGACCCCUGUCAGUCAGUAGACACAUCAAUGACCCCUGUCAGACAGUACAGACACAUCAAUGACCCCUGUCAGACAGUACAGACACAUCAAUGACCCCUGUCAGUCAGUACAGACACAUCAAUGACCCCUGUCAGUCAGUACAGACACAUCAAUGACCCCUGUCAGACAGUACAGACACAUCAAUGACCCCUGUCAGACAGUACAGACACAUCAAUGACCCCUGUCAGUCAGUACAGACACAUCAAUGACCCCUGUCAGUCAGUAGACACAUCAAUGACCCCUGUCAGACAGUACAGACACAUCAAUGACCCCUGUCAGUCAGUACAGACUGAUCCAGGAUACUGUCUAGUCUCUAGAUGGUAUAUGUUGAUUUUUGGAAACAAAAUGAAGAUUUUAUACCCAAUGAUAAUCAGUACCACUCAUUUAUUUUUUGUCUUUGAUCUGAAAGUGUCGAUUCAUCAAGCAUCCAUUUAGAGGACAUAGAAAUCCAACUAUGGGACAAUAAGGCAGGGAAAUGUUCCUUAGCAAACCUUUUGUCUCAAUACACUAAUCAUAUAUCAUCCAAUAGUCUAUCAUGGUACAUGCUAAACACAAUUUAAUACAUCAAAAAUGUAAAUUAGCAGUGUAAGGGGACUAUUUUGUUGUGGUUUCAUUUUUGCUUUUUCCAAUAAAAGUAGAAAAUCGCCCGCACACACAAAACAAAACUUUUAAAAACAUAUUUAUAUCGCAACUUAUGGAUCAUUUUAUAAUUUCUAGAAAAAAUUUAAUUUUCAAUUUUUUAUUCAAACCUUCGGUAAAAUUGCAAAUAUCAUGAUUAUAAAAAAAACAAAGACAGUCUCUAUUGUCCAACAUUUUCAAUUUUUUUUUUUAGUUAAUUUAAUGCAAUGUUUAUUCAGUAAACCCAGAAAUAUUCACCACCAUUUAAUUUGCUUUUUAAUUUCAGCCCAUUAAGAAGAGGGCAAAUUUAACCAUGUAGUAAAAGUAUUUUGGUCUAGGGUGAAAGUUUCUGGGUAUAAAGUACUGGUAAGAGAAUGAUAGAUUAUUUAAGUAAGAAAGCUGUGCGAGUGUUUCAUGCCCAUUCCUAUCAUCAUCGUUCCUAAAGAUCUACAAGUCAGUUAUGGGGCGGUGAGUUAUGGAGGCCCCUAUGUUUAGGCUAUAGAUGUCUGGUAAAGAGGUGACUUCUGUGUUUGGAAAAUUUACCAAAUAUCAAGGCUUUAUACUGGUAUGGAGAUAAGAAACAGGUCCAAUUUCUGAUAGAUGGACUUUUUUGAUAGAUCUGUAUGACACAUGACGUGCUGGUGUCCGACAGAUCUGUAUGACACAUGACGUGAUAGAUCUGUAUGACACAUGACGUGCUGGUGUCCGACAUAUCUGUAUGACACGUGACAUGCUGGUGUCAAAUAGAUCUGUAUGACACAUAACCUGCUAGUGUCCAAUAGAUCUGUAUGACACGUGACAUUCUGGUGUCCAAUAGAUCUGUAUGACACAUGACAUGCUGGUGUCCAAUAGAUCUGUAUGACACAUGACAUGAUAGAUCUGUAUGACACAUGACAUGCUGGUGUCCGAUAGAUCUGUAUGACACAUGACGUGCUGGUGUUGUAGCUAGCUCCUUGUUUUGUUUAUUGUCUCCCUUUAAUAAUGACUCUCUUUAGUAUUGUUUAGUCCAGUAUUUUAUAGCAAGAUCCCUGACAACAUGAAACAGUUAUAGAAGAGUUAUCCUGCUAGCAGACACCUUGAUUAACUGCCGUAGUUACCCCCUUGAUUAACUGCCCCCCCUUUGCGUCCAUCCAACUUUUUGUAUGUUCAGUAUUUUAUUGUGUACACACUAGUCCUAACAAUGAAUAUGUGUAUUUAUUUAUAGAAUUAUUUAGUGAUAUGUAAGUGGUGAGUGUUCACAUGUAUAAGGUAGGCCACCAGAAUUAAUUACAGUUAACCUAAUACAUAUAUAAGGUAGGCCAUCAGAAUUAAUUACAGUUAACCUAAUACAUGUAUAAGGUAGGCCAUCAGAAUUAACUACAGUAAACUUGAUACAUUUAUAAAGUAGGCCACCAGAAUUAACUACAGUAUACUAAUACAUGUAUAAGGUAGGCCACCAGAAUUAACUACAGUUAACCUAAUACAUGUAUAAAGUAGGCCACCAGAAUUAACUACAGUUAACCUAAUACAUAUAUAAGGUAGGCCACCAGAAUUAACUACAGUAAACCUAAUACAUGUAUAAGGUAGGCCACCAGAAUUAACUACAGUAAACCUAAUACAUGUAUAAGGUAGGCCACCAGAAUUAACUACAGUAAACCUAAUACAUGUAUAAGGUAGGCCACCAGAAUUAACUACAGUUAACCUAAUACAUGUAUAAAGUAGGCAACCAGAAUUAACUACAGUUAACCUAAUACAUGUAUAAAGUAGGCCACCAGAAUUAACUACAGUUAACCUAAUACAUAUAUAAGGUAGGCCACCAGAAUUAACUACAGUUAACCUAAUACAUGUAUAAGGUAGGCCACCAGAAUUAACUACAGUAAACCUAAUACAUGUAUAAGGUAGGCCACCAGAAUUAACUACAGUUAACCUAAUACAUGUAUAAAGUAGGCCACCAGAAUUAACUACAGUUAACCUAAUACAUGUAUAAAGUAGGCCACCAGAAUUAACUACAGUUAACCUAAUACAUAUAUAAGGUAGGCCACCAGAAUUAACUACAGUAAACCUAAUACAUGUAUAAAGUAGGCCACCAGAAUUAACUACAGUUAACCUAAUACAUGUAUAAGGUAGGCCACCAGAAUUAACUACAGUAAACAGUUUGGUACUACAACAGGGCCUCGCCCGCAAGUGUCACUCAGCCCAUGUAUAUUUGUGUGUCGUUUAAUGUUAAGUUUUUCUUGUUACUGAUUAAAUCAAGACUGCGAACAGCAUGCUGUCAAUGCUGAUGAGCAGUAGGUAAUGGGUAUUAUACUGCAAACCCAGUAUAAGUAUCAUGUACUGAUGGUAAUCUACAACAUGUUGUCUACAAAUGCCAUGAUUAUUUAAUUUUGUUAAAUUAUUUACAUGUAAAGUUGUUUAUUUAAUUUGAACAUUCCUAUAUAGUGUUGAUAUGUGAACCAUUCCAUGGUUGGUGAGGAGAAACCACCUCAAUGAUCACUUCUGUAGACCUGUCCCGGAUAGGGAAGGGAGAUAACUCCAUGUUCACAUCUCCAGAGGAGAUAACUAUCUACUAUAUAUUAUGAAGCAUUCCAACAAAAUAGUGUGGUUAAUUUUACUGUUUACCAUAAAUAUAUAACCUAACAUCACUGACUCUUUAUAUGUUGUGUCGAUUAGGCCCAGGACCUGGGAAUGAGUUAACAGUUUCGGCAGGAAUGUGAAAUAUGUAGACAACACAUUCCUGGAACUUGCUGAUAGAAACUGUGUAUUUGUGUGCAAUUAGUUAUAUAAUUAAUUUAUUUAAUCAAGGUGUGAUCUUUGUGUUCUUUAGUAAAUUAGCCCAUCUCCAACUUGCAUGUUUAUGAUAUAGUUUUGUUGUGUUAACCGCAGGGUGUGGUUUUGAUGAGAGAUUUUGUAUUGACUAGUUAUUGAAAAUUAUCAGCUUUAUACUUUACACCACGACCAGGGAUUACAUUGGCUACAACAGAUCAUGAACUGUCAUAUUUCAUGAUGUUAUGAAUAAACAGUUAACAUCAGAGAAUUUAUAAAAUGUGAGAUGUGUUGGUCUGGUGGUAGGCCCCAAGGCUAUGUAAGGACUAGUGGUAGGCCCCAAGGCUAUGUAAGGACUAGUGGUAGGCCCCAAGGCUAUGUAAGGACUAGUGGUAGGCCCCAAGGCUAUGUAAGGUCUAGUGGUAGGCCCCAAGGCUAUGUAAGGUCUAUCGGUAGGCCCCAAGGCUUUGUAAGGACUAGUGGUAGGCCCCAAGGCUAUGUAAGGACUAGUGGUAGACCCCAAGGCUUUGUAAGGUCUAGUGGUAGGCCCCAAGGCUAUUUAAGGUCUAGUGGAAGGCCCCAAGGCUAUGUAUGGUCUAGUGGUAGGCCCCAAGGCUAUGUAAGGUCUAGUGGUAGGCCCCAAGGCUAUGUAAGGUCUAGUGGAAGGCCCCCAAGGCUAUGUAAGGUCUAGUGAUAGGCCCAAAGGCUAUGUAAGGUAUAUCAGUAGGCCCCAAGGCUAUGUAAGGUCUAGUGGUAGGCCCCAAGGCUUUGUAAGGUCUAGUGGUAGGCCCCAAGGCUUUGUAAGGUCUAGUGGUAGGCCCCAAGGCUCUGUUGUAUCCAUUACCCAGUAACCACAGAUAAUGAUUUGUGAGCUACUUUGAGACAGUUAUGUUGCUGUGGUAUAGCGGUAUAUAAAACUGCAAAUUUAUGAUUGUUAUUAUAUUUUUUUUAAAACAAGGUCUGAUAUUAUCAGUUCUUUUUUAGAUGAAAUAAUGUAGUAUUAAGGGUCUACAAAAGAUAUCUGAUGAAAGUUUUUCUGAUUCAAGAAAUAUGGUUGAAUACAAAAUGAACGGGAUUAUAUAUGAUAGACUUGACAAUUCACUGCCAAAUUUUGCCAUUAACACUACGCAACCUGAUUUCAGUGGCGACUGUUAGAUAGAAGUGUUUCAGUCUGCUAGAAAAUUGAUGUGUGCCAUUAACAUUAGAUGUUUGUGAUUUACAUUUUAACAAUUAACAGUGCAAUAUAAUUGUGUGUUUUAAUGAUUUUAGUAUAACAUUCCAUAUCUCACCUUUAUAACUACUGUAUGUCCUGUAUGAUGUAAAGGACAACAAACCAAUCUACAUUUCAGAAAAAUCGAUUAUUUCUGAAUCCUUUAUAUAAUUCACCUGACUUUCCACGACUUCUUGGUAAACAUGUUCUUAUUAAAAUUAAAACUGAAUCCUUCUCCUA